rnacentral:rRNA from 1 species
AUACGUAGGUGGCGAGCGUUAUCCGGAUUUACUGGGUGUAAAGGGCGCGUAGGCGGGGAUGCAAGUCAGAUGUGAAAUCUAUGGGCUCAACUCAUAAACUGCAUUUGAAACUGUAUUUCUUGAGUACUGGAGAGGUAGACGGAAUUCCUUGUGUAGCGGUGAAAUGCGUAGAUAUAAGGAAGAACACCAGUGGCGAAGGCGGUCUACUGGACAGCAACUGACGCUGAGGCGCGAAAGCGUGGGGAGCAAACAGGAUUAGAUACCCUGGUAGUCCACGCUGUAAACGAUGAAUACUAGGUGUGGGGAGACUGACCCUUUCCGUGCCGCAGUUAACACAAUAAGUAUUCCACCUGGGGAGUACGGCCGCAAGGUUGAAACUCAAAUGAAUUGACGGGG